AGGAAAAUAAUGAUAAGAAAAUAUAAAUAGGAUUCAAGGAUAUAAAUAGGACAAAGAAGAAGUUGGAGAAGUCAAAGAAAAUAGCAACCCCCCUCCCCCGGGUCAUCCACAAGUGCGACUUCAAUAUGUUUUCCAAUUAAUACUUGGGUAUCAACUGAAGAGUCUAUAACUCGAAGGAUCUAAAUAGGACAAAAAUAUAAAUAACAUUCAAGGAUCUAUGAGAUGGUCACAAUGUUACAAAAUUAGAGAUGACCACAUCCAAAUAAAAGGAAUAGCACAUAUAUUAGCCAAAAACAUCCGAAUAGAAGGAAAAAGACAACAACAACAACAACUACCCAGUAUAGUCCCACAAAGUGGGGUCUGGGGAGGGUAAUANNNNNNNNNNNNNNNNNNNNNNNNNNNNNNNNNNNNNNNNNNNNNNNNNNNNNNNNCAAAGUGGGGUCUGGGGAGGGUAAUAUGUAGACAGGCCUUACCCCUACCCGAAAGGGCAGAGAGGCUGUUUCCAAUCGACCAUCGGCUCAGUGGAGGAAUGGAAAAACAAAAACCAAAACAAAAGAGCAUUAGUAACUCUAGCAGAAAUAACAUAAAUAAUUAUCUAAACAUAAUAACCAUAAAUAAAAUAGCAUGCAAAUAUAUCAGAUAGUAACUACCAUAAAUAACUAUCAAAGGGAGACACAAACCAAUACACAAAUCUUCUACGGAUAUGCCUGCCAAGCCUCACCCAACCCCGGGUGAGAAGUACGAAACACUCUAGGAGCCCCUAUCCUACAACCCUUAUACUAGACCUCUAGACUUUCCUAUCAAGGGCCAUGUCCUCGGAAACCUGCAUUCUUGCCAUGUCAUUCCUAAUCACCUCUCCCCAAUGGUGCUAAUAUUGAGGAAAACCCUUAUAUAAAUCGCCUAAAAUAUCCUGCUAGCCCUAGGAAGCUGCGGACUUCUGAUGGUGUCGUAGGUCUCACACAAUUCUUUACUGUAUCGAUCUUCUGAGUGUCGACACUGAUGCCCUCGUAAGAUAUCACAUGGCCAAGGAAUGCUACUGAGUUCAGCCAGAAUUCACAUUUGGAGAGCUUAGCAUAUAACUUACAAUCCUGAAGCGUCUAUAAUACUAUCCGCAAGUGGCCCGCAUGUUACGCCUAUGAACGAGAAUACACCAGAAUGUCAUGAAUGAAUACAAUCACGAACACAUCAAGAUAGGGCCUGAAUACAGUACUCAUGAGAUCUAUAAAAGCUGCUGGGGCAUUUGUUAGCCCGAACGACAUUACAAAGAACUCAAAGUGCUCAUAUAUUGUCUAGAAGGUCGUCUUAAUAUCCUUCUCCUUAACCCUCACCUGAUGAUACCCUGAACAUAAGUCAAUAUUGGAGAAAUAGUAUCUGACAGUGUCCCUCUUGAAUAGUUGUAGUUAUAAUUACUAACUAGUCAUCCUUCUUUAAGGCCCCAACAAAUGCAACAUCUGAUUUCAUACAUUCAAGGAUCUAAUGUACAAAGAGGAAGCUAAUAGGCUCCUUUUGGAAAACUUCCAAUAGGACAUAGAUCAGAGCCCUUCUUGAAUCAAAGAAUGUCAUAUGAGGUGGUUUGGUCAUAUUAUAAGUACCCCUCCAGAAGCACCAGUUUAUAGGUGUAAAACCAUGAUAAGGUAUUAAAGCGGAAUAAGAUGGACCUAAAAUCACAUGGAAGGAAGUUCCCCUAUCUAUUAAAAUCCAUGCAGGCUUAGCGAGAAAUAGAACACAAUUGAAGGAAAAGUUCAUCACUACAGGGUGAUAUGGAAGGAGAAUCAGCUUUUGGAAUCAUAGGUGGUGUGCAGAGGAUACUCUGAGGGUCUCUUUCCCCAGGUCUUCAAAGUUUCAAACAAGAAGGAAUUGAUGGUUCAACAGAUUCGCAAGUAGCAUGAAGGGGGGCUAGUAUCUGACCUCUCAUUUAGAAGAAAUAUGCAAGAUUGGGAGAUUGCGGAGCUCCAAAAUUUGUUGGCACUGCUAUAUGGGCAAGACAGGCCCAGCCUUCUUGUGAUUUUUGGAGAAGGGGUUACGUGGCGAUGGUUUAUUUAUCGUAAAGUCCUUUAACCAGAGUAUGUUAGUGAGAGAGGAGGCCGCUUUUUCAUACUCCUUGACCAUGAUUCGUAAGGUGCCCAUGAAGGUGCGCUUUUUUGCAUGGCUAGCAACGAGGGGAGUGAUCUUGACGGGGAAUCUGCGAAAGAGAGGAAUUACACUUGUUAGUUGGUGCUACAUGUGCAAACGCUCAGGAGAAAAAGUUGAUCAUCUUUUGUUGUAUUGCCCUGUGUCCUCGGGUUUGUGUAGGGCAAUCCUGAAUCUUUUUGGUGUUCAAUGGGUGAUGUCAAGUACUGUGAAGGAAAUGUUAUAUAGCUUGACCCGUUUCCGUAGAAAAAGAAAGCAAAAGGCGUGGAAGUUCGCACCGUUAGCUCUCAUGUGGAUAAUUUGGGGGGGACAGAAAUAGGAGAACUUUUGAGGGGAUUGAGUCUCUUUUUUCACAUCUUAAGAAUAGUCUUUUAUCUUUGAUCACUUUCUGGUGCACUCACAUAGCCCCUGCUUGUAUAGACGAUUGAGCGUCAUUUGUAGAGAAUCAUGUUCUGAUAUAAAUUCUCUACUUUUUGGUACACUUCUUGUAUACGGGAGUUUUCUCCCUUUUGAUUAGUACAAGUUACCUUACAUAAAAAAAGGAAAAGUUCAUUGUUGGUAAGUUUAUGUUAGAUUCAAUGUUUGCUAAGAGUCUUCUAAUCUAUUAGAGAUCUGUAUGUUAGUAGAAAAUGUAUAUAACUUCUAGUGUUCAAGAAUUUUCAAAUUAAGAGAAACAUAUAGUGAGGAUUCACAUAAACCCUAACUAACUUGGAAUUGAGGCUUUGUUGUUGUUGUUGUCUAGCUCCAGCCAUGGCUACUAAGCUUCUUUGUUAUCCAUACUACAUAAGAGCGAAUAUGGAUUCCUUUUGGCUCUUACUUUACCACAUCACCAAACAAAGGGAUAAGUAGAUUUAACAACAGAAUUUCACCUCUAUAUUACAGUCGCUAAAUGCAUAGCAAAUAAACCUGUUAAUAUAAGGUAACACAAUUACCACUUUGACAUUAUUCAUCACCAUUUGAGAGAAACCACAUAAAUGAGAAACAUUAUCCAAUCUCUUACUCUUCAUUCAUACAAACUGAGUUGUGCAGACUAAUAACUAGCUGUUUCUCAUAUGCAUUUCUAAUUCCUCACAUGUCUCGUGCCCUUACCUUUACAAAAAGUUACAAUCAACUUCAGAUUCUAGGGGCAGUUACGAUUAGCUUGUACUAUAAAUAUCCUCCCUUCCCACGAUUGUACCCCAUUCUCAUUCUACUACUCAUACUGUUAACAUGCUGAAAUCACCGCAACACCUUUCUCUCAAUUACAAGCGUUGUUCAACAGCUUUCUUCAACCAAGGAUUGCUUAAUAAGAAAUUUUAUAUAUUUCACUACUUUUGUUUAUAUAGUUUCGAUUGCUCUCUUAUAUGUACUAGCAAAGAUUCAUCCUGUUAGUUCAAUUCAAAUUGCUUGUAGCCUAAUUCUAUAAAUUUAACUGGCUAGUCUAAUAAUCAGAUUUUAGGUUAAACUUUAUAAAUAAAUGAAAUAUUGAUCAAUCUAGUUCCUCACAUUUUGGUGUUUCACAUACCACAUAGAUGGUGUUUCACAUACCACAUAGAUGCUACCAUGUUCAAAAGUAACCAUCAUAAAUCAACAUAAUCUUAACUUCUUCAACUUAUUCACGGUGAAUUCAUAUUACUCAAUCUAGAGCUCUACACGGAAGCCAGUGACCAGUAUUCUGAGAGACAUGAACUUACUCUUUAUCAGCAAUGUGUAUUGUCGACACCAAGUCAACCUACACAAUCAAAAUUUCAAAAUCACAAUCAAACUUCAAAAAUUAAACUCAAGUAUAGUCAAAUUUUCAGUUUAUUUUGCAAAUAUGACUCAUAUCAAAGCCCUAAAUACAACAACAACAACAAUUACCCAGUAUACUCCCACCAGGUGGGGUCUGGGGAGGGUAAUAUGUAGACGAGCCUUACC
rnacentral:lncRNA from 1 species